AAGCAGUUCCAAAAAUGGAGGAAUCCCUACCUUUGGAGUGAAUUGCAAUAGUGGUGGACAUGAACAAGAGACCAAUUUUGGUGGAUUCAAUACAAACAGAAUGUCAUUG